CCUACGGGAGGCAGCAGUGGGGAAUAUUGGGCAAUGGGCGCAAGCCUGACCCAGCGACGCCGCGUGAGUGAAGAAGGCUUUCGGUUUGUAAACUUCUUUUCUCAGGGACGAAACAAGUGACGGUACCUGACUAAUAAGCCACGGCUAACUACGUGCCAGCAGCCGCGGUAAUACGUAGGUGGCAAGCGUUAUCCGGAUUUACUGGGUGUAAAGGGCGUGUAGGCGGGACUGCAAGUCAGAUGUGAAAACCACGGGCUCAACCUGCGGCCUGCAUUUGAAACUGUAGUGCUGGAGUACUGGAGAGGUAGGCGGAAUUCCUAGUGUAGCGGUGAAAUGCGUAGAUAUUAGGAGGAACACCAGUGGCGAAGGCGGCUUGCUGGACAGUAACUGACGCUGAGGCGCGAAAGCGUGGGGAGCAAACAGGAUUAGAUACCCGAGUAGUC
rnacentral:rRNA from 1 species